rnacentral:lncRNA from 1 species
AAACAAAUUCUCAUAAAAGGGGAAUAGGUUAAAAUACAGAAGAUGAGAAUUUGAAUAAAUCAAAUAUAUGGUCUCCAAAUGUCAGAUUAAAUAGUUGAAAUAUCAUCAUGUAAUGUAUAGAAUGACAAAAACAGUAAAAUGUUCAGGAGAAAUUAGAGAGUGCAGAGUAGACAAUAGGAGAGGUCUCCUGCCAAAACAAUUACUUUUAUUUUCUAUCUUAAGAAUUACAUAUACAUUUAAAGGAGUACAAAUCCAUGUGAUCACAAAAAAUAAUCCUGAGAUGCACUCUUCAGAUUUAUUUUACAACUUAUUUAUACAUUAUUACAGACACUUUGUGAAUAGAUUACUGUUCAUAUGAAUCUCGAGUUUUCAUUCCUAUAAGAAAUGUGGUAUGUACAUUAUGUAAAAGUCACGUUAUUUAAAGAGAUUUUACAGUGACCAAUGGCAAGCAUUUUGAUUGUGUUCUUACAUGAAAUUAAAUGGUGUAAGUUAGGACUGUCAUAAUUGUGUUGGCUUGCUUAAUUGCAGAAGCUGAAUUGUCACUGAAUUGAUGUGAACAAAUCAAUGGUUAAUCAGUUUAAACAGCAAUCAUUACUAAAUGUACUUAUGGGAAGUUAAUUACUGUAUAGUAGUGCCAUGUCAAGUGUGAAAAAGCAUUAAAAUAUACUAGGAUGUGUCAACAGGCAAUGUCAGAAAGUGCAAUGGACUAUGAACCCAUUAAACUUGUGUAUUUUAAAGCACUUUACUUGAACAAAAGCAUCAGAUCUCAGCGAUAACCUGCAAAAUUUGCAAAUUACUAAUUUUGCACUUCCCAGCAAGCCACGGCAUGUUCCUGGCCUGAUUGACUGCAUCCAAUUCAACUUGUCUCAACUGUAGCUGUUGUUUAGCAGAUUCGAAAUCUCUUGUCUGAAAUUCUCAUGUUUUGGGUAGGUGGUAAGAAUUGCAUUGUCUUUUUAAGCAACUCUAUCUAGAAUUUUCACAUUGACUUGGAGUAAUUUAUACUUUAAGAUCCAUCUUUGUUUGCCAAUAUAGAACUUAGCUCUCACCUCAGAGAGAAGGGAUCAGUUACUCUACCUAUUUAUGAGUGACCCAAGUAUAUAGAUUCAGGAUGCCCUAUUCUUAAGUGUUCUACUUGCUAAUCACAAGAAUAUUAAGUGUCACAAGGAAGUGUUCAAAAUAGGAACUCACAAUCUGAAAUCUAAAUAUAGACUCAGAUAAUUUCACUUUGGCUGUGUAGCAUCUCUCCGCAAUCACAACGAACUAAUCUGUCAAUUGUGCAUGUAGGUGAUGCUUUUUCUUUUUCUGGGAACCCCAGUUCACAGUUUAUUGAACCAAUGUCUUGGAAAACAGAGGCAUCAUACCAGAAACAGCGAAAGGCAAAUUGCAAUGCACCGUUCCAAAACUCUAGCUUUCUCCACUGUCAGGAACAGCCUGGGCUGAUUUAGAAGCUGAAGCAGGGUCUCUGACAAGCAUGAGGGGGAGAAGGGGGCCUUUAUAGAACUUGGAGCAAUGAAAGGAGAAAGAUUUACUGCAAAAUUCUGAACUCCUUUCAGAAUCGGAGACCACAAAGAUGCUGAUGGCAGCAAGUGAACAUCUGUUGACAGGGAUCUCCACAGCACUCGGUAAUUUGCUUGCCCUGUGUGUGUUGAAGUCAGUACUAUCCAUUCCCCUCUCUGUGCCUCAGAUACCUGCCAUACUGGUAAAUACACACUCCCAUGCAUACAUGCUCUUUCCUUUUACACAAUAAAAUAAAGACUGUUGCUUCCCUCCUUCCCCUACUAUUCCUCUCCCCAAAUGUUCUGUAGAAUUUUUACUGCAAACUCCAUUUCAAAAUCUAGUUCAUCCGUGAUUAGGGAAAAUUCUUCUGCUAUUAAAUGCUACCCAUUUUCUCAUAUUUUGAAUCACAGGUUAAGGGGGAGAGGAGAGCAAUCUGUGUCUCACAGGCAUUUUUCUUUCCUUUCUGACAGUCUCUGGGUCUUAUUGACAAGAACGCUUGGGGCUUGAGGGCUUUUCUUUUGCAUCUGUUCCUUUCACAGAUCUGAAAUCUCUAUAUAUUUUAAACUUAAUUAAAGUCGUGCUUGAAAAUGGGAGGGGACUUGUAGAAAAGAUAUUGUUCUAGUUUGCUUUUUUAUAAACACCAUGGGGGGGG